CGGAGGUGCAAGCGUUAAUCGGAAUCACUGGGCGUAAAGCGCACGUAGGCUGUUAUGUAAGUCAGGGUGAAAUCCCACGGCUCAACCGUGGAACUGCCCUUGAUACUGCACGACUUGAAUCCGGGAGAGGGUGGCGGAAUUCCAGGUGUAGGAGUGAAAUCCGUAGAUAUCUGGAGGAACAUCAGUGGCGAAGGCGGCCACCUGGACCGGUAUUGACGCUGAGGUGCGAAAGCGUGGGAGCAAACAGGAUU
rnacentral:rRNA from 1 species